CAAGGCUGCUGUGUAUCCAACCUGACAUCUGCAGGAAACCCCCCCGGAACCUGCCCAUGCACCACACCACAGAGAAACCAGGACACAGGGGCUCAGGGCCAGUGGGGGCGCAAAGGCUGCAGACCGGGAGCGGGGCACCCUGACAGAUGUAAGUGCUCUGGGCAACACUUCACCACAGCCAUCUGCCAGCCUUGAGUCCAGUGACAAGAGGGAACAAGAUGGUUUACAAGUCACCCCUAUUCUCUGCAAAUCCAGUUUAUUAAACUUGGAGUUCACAAAGAAUAAACGGUUAAUUCCUA
ensembl:lncRNA novel transcript